rnacentral:rRNA from 1 species
UACGUAGGGUGCGAGCGUUAAUCGGAAUUACUGGGCGUAAAGCGUGCGCAGGCGGUUUCGUGAGUCAGAUGUGAAAGCCCCGGGCUCAACCUGGGAACUGCGUUUGAAACUGCGAGGCUAGUGUGUCAGAGGGGGGUAGAAUUCCACGUGUAGCAGUGAAAUGCGUAGAGAUGUGGAGGAACACCGAUGGCGAAGGCAGCCCCCUGGGAUAACACUGACGCUCAUGCACGAAAGCGUGGGGAGCA